CUGACAUCCCUCAAUAAAAAUAAAGACUGUUUCCUAGGACAUAUAAACUGUGACCAAUAUCUUUGACUAGUAGAUACUAGAAUUUGAUGGCAUCCACUCAGGGACAACUGGCUUUCCUUGUGUGCUUUGUACACACUGAGAAUUUUCUGGUAAAUCAGGCAUGAUUCAGGUCCCUACAAGCUAGUAGUAGUUGUUGUGGUGAUGAUGAUUAUGGUAUUGGGAAGCUGGCCCAUAGUUAGGAAUGUAGAAAGUAGUAGCCGCCAGUUCUUACUUCAGACAAUAGGGACUGUGUUCUGACUGGAGAAGAAUGGGUCUCAGCUCAGACUUGGGAAAUGUCUCACCAGGUUCCCGAAGAGCCCACUUGGUAUCUUUAGAUCAUAAAAGAGUAAGAUGUCAGAAAAAGAGACAUUCUUGGUGCACAUACAGUAGUUGUUGGCCUGCCGACUCUGGGCCAGGUCCCAGGCUGUCAGGCCAGCCUGUGGGAGAGAUACAGAGAGGGAAGAAGAGGGAGUCCCAGUGGUUGGAUGGGGAGGCCACCCUCUGAAACAAUCAUCAACAGAAAUCUUGCUAGAAGGGAGGGAAUAAGUCACACAUUGAGUUAAGGCCGGAUGAAGCUAGAGAAGUAGAUGAACUGGACACCACACAUUGCUAAACCAAAAAGCUAGAGAGAGGUGAG
rnacentral:lncRNA from 1 species